rnacentral:misc_RNA from 1 species
CCUCCUUAUACGAUUUAGAACUUAUUUGUUCGUAGUGUCCACACAGAUGAUUGUUAGUUAGUUUUACCCUUUGGGUUAACUAAUUAAUAUGCUCUUUAAAAAUUUGGAAAAGCUGAUAAUAAAAUUCGUAUGAAUAACAUUGUUAUUUGUACAGAGUUUUCAAAAGUAAAAAAGAAUGAUAGCAGUAUCAUUCAGUGCCAAUUUAAUCCUCGGAUUAAUUGGUAUCUACUUUAGUAUUCAAUAUUAACUUCUGGCGAAGUUAAACUGUCACGAAACAAAGACCCGUUUGGGUUGUAUGGUUAAGUGACUAAGCGUACACGGUGGAUGCCUUGGCAGUUGGAGGCGAUGAAGGACGUAUUAACUUGCGAUAAGCCUAGUCAAGCUA